CUGAACAUGAGAACAUACCGAUAGAAUAUCGUAAUGCGAAUUAACUUUGAAAUAUUGGAUGGAGAAUCUAUGAAUGAGAAUUGAAUUGGUGCCUGAGGACAGCUAGUGUAGCGUACCUUUUGCAUAAGGG
rnacentral:rRNA from 1 species